rnacentral:rRNA from 1 species
UGGGGAAUAUUGCACAAUGGAGGGAACUCUGAUGCAGCGACGCCGCGUGAACGAAGAAGGCUUUCGAGUCGUAAAGUUCUUUUAUAUGGGAAGAUAAUGACGGUACCAUAAGAAAAAGCCCCGGCUAACUACGUGCCAGCAGCCGCGGUAAUACGUAGGGGGCUAGCGUUGUCCGGAAUCACUGGGCGUAAAGGGUUCGCAGGCGGAAAUGCAAGUCAGGUGUAAAAGGCAGUAGCUUAACUACUGUAAGCAUUUGAAACUGCAUAUCUUGAGAAGAGUAGAGGCAAGUGGAAUUUUUAGUGUAGCGGUGAAAUGCGUAGAUAUUAAAAAGAAUACCGGUGGCGAAGGCGACUUACUGGGCUCAUUCUGACGCUGAGGAACGAAAGCGUGGGUAGCAAACAGG